rnacentral:sRNA from 1 species
AUAAAAUCCUGGGAUAUGAGCCGGAAGAGGCAUCAUCUGAUCCCGGAGACCCUUGGAGUUAAGAGGCGGCGGAAGCGAGGGCCUGUGGAGUCGGAUCCUCUUCGGGGUGAGCCAGGGUCGGCGCGCGCGGCUGUCUCAGAACUCAUGCAGCUGUUCCCGCGAGGCCUGUUUGAGGACGCGCUGCCGCCCAUCGUGCUGAGGAGCCAAGUGUACAGCCUCGUGCCUGACAGGACCGUGGCCGACCGGCAGCUGAAGGAGCUUCAAGAGCAGGGGGAGAUCAGAAUCGUCCAGCUGGGCUUCGACUUGGAUGCCCAUGGAAUUAUCUUCACUGAGGACUACAAGACCAGAGCAUCUGGUGAACGCUGGAGUCCUCACCGUCCGAGAUGCUGGGAGCUGGUGGCUAGCUGUGCCUGGAGCUGGGAGAUUCAUCAAAUACUUUGUUAAAGGGCGCCAGGCUGUCCUUGGCAUGGUCCGGAAGGCAAAGUACCGGGAGCUGCUCCUAUCAGAGCUCCUGGGC